rnacentral:rRNA from 1 species
UACAGAGGGGGCAAGCGUUGUCCGGAGUUACUGGGCGUAAAGCGCACGCAGGCGGCAAUGCACGUGUGGUGUGAAAGCGGUCGGCUUAACCGACCGAGGCCAUCGCAUACGGCAUCGCUCGAGCGCAGCAGAGGCAUCUCGAAUUGCCGGUGUAGUGGUGAAAUGCGUAGAGAUCGGCAGGAAGACCAAGGGGGAACCCAGGAUGCUGGGCUGUGGCUGACGCUCAGGUGCGAAAGCGUGGGGAGCCAACCGG